rnacentral:rRNA from 1 species
AUUGAACGCUGGCGGCAGGCCUAACACAUGCAAGUCGAACGAGUGGCGGACGGGUGAGUAAUGUCUGGGAAACUGCCCGAUGGAGGGGGAUAACUACUGGAAACGGUAGCUAAUACCGCAUACCAUCGGAUGUGCCCAGAUGGGAUUAGCUAGUAGGUGGGGUAACGGCACACCUAGGCGACGAUCCCUAGCUGGUCUGAGAGGAUGACCAGCCACAUUGGAACUUGGACACGGUCAAGACUCCUACGGAAGGCAGCAGUGGGGAAUAUUGCACAAUGGGCGCAAGCCGGAUGCGGCCAUGCCGCGGGUAUGAGGAAGGCCUUGGGGUUGUAAAGUCCUUUCAGCGAGGAGGCGUUACUCGCAGAAGAAGCACCGGCUAACUCCGUGCCAGCAGCCGCGGUAAUUC